rnacentral:rRNA from 1 species
UAUUACAAUGAAGAGUUUGAUCCUGGCUCAGGAUGAACGCUAGCUACAGGCUUAACACAUGCAAGUCGAGGGGCAGCAUGGUCUUAGCUUGCUAAGGCCGAUGGCGACCGGCGCACGGGUGAGUAACACGUAUCCAACCUGCCGUCUACUCUUGGACAGCCUUCUGAAAGGAAGAUUAAUACAAGAUGGCAUCAUGAGUCCGCAUGUUCACAUGAUUAAAGGUAUUCCGGUAGACGAUGGGGAUGCGUUCCAUUAGAUAGUAGGCGGGGUAACGGCCCACCUAGUCUUCGAUGGAUAGGGGUUCUGAGAGGAAGGUCCCCCACAUUGGAACUGAGACACGGUCCAAACUCCUACGGGAGGCAGCAGUGAGGAAUAUUGGUCAAUGGGCGAGAGCCUGAACCAGCCAAGUAGCGUGAAGGAUGACUGCCCUAUGGGUUGUAAACUUCUUUUAUAAAGGAAUAAAGUCGGGUAUGCAUACCCGUUUGCAUGUACUUUAUGAAUAAGGAUCGGCUAACUCCGUGCCAGCAGCCGCGGUAAUACGGAGGAUCCGAGCGUUAUCCGGAUUUAUUGGGUUUAAAGGGAGCGUAGAUGGAUGUUUAAGUCAGUUGUGAAAGUUUGCGGCUCAACCGUAAAAUUGCAGUUGAUACUGGAUAUCUUGAGUGCAGUUGAGGCAGGCGGAAUUCGUGGUGUAGCGGUGAAAUGCUUAGAUAUCACGAAGAACUCCGAUUGCGAAGGCAGCCUGCUAAGCUGCAACUGACAUUGAGGCUCGAAAGUGUGGGUAUCAAACAGGAUUAGAUACCCUGGUAGUCCACACGGUAAACGAUGAAUACUCGCUGUUUGCGAUAUACUGCAAGCGGCCAAGCGAAAGCGUUAAGUAUUCCACCUGGGGAGUACGCCGGCAACGGUGAAACUCAAAGGAAUUGACGGGGGCCCGCACAAGCGGAGGAACAUGUGGUUUAAUUCGAUGAUACGCGAGGAACCUUACCCGGGCUUAAAUUGCAGAUGAAUUACGGUGAAAGCCGUAAGCCGCAAGGCAUCUGUGAAGGUGCUGCAUGGUUGUCGUCAGCUCGUGCCGUGAGGUGUCGGCUUAAGUGCCAUAACGAGCGCAACCCUUGUUGUCAGUUACUAACAGGUUCCGCUGAGGACUCUGACAAGACUGCCAUCGUAAGAUGUGAGGAAGGUGGGGAUGACGUCAAAUCAGCACGGCCCUUACGUCCGGGGCUACACACGUGUUACAAUGGGGGGUACAGAGGGCCGCUACCACGCGAGUGGAUGCCAAUCCCCAAAACCUCUCUCAGUUCGGACUGGAGUCUGCAACCCGACUCCACGAAGCUGGAUUCGCUAGUAAUCGCGCAUCAGCCACGGCGCGGUGAAUACGUUCCCGGGCCUUGUACACACCGCCCGUCAAGCCAUGGGAGCCGGGGGUACCUGAAGUGCGUAACCGCGAGGAGCGCCCUAGGGUAAAACUGGUGACUGGGGCUAAGUCGUAACAAGGUAGCCGUACCGGAAGGUGCGGCUGGAACACCUCCUUUCU